UAGGGAAUCUUCGGCAAUGGACGAAAGUCUGACCGAGCAACGCCGCGUGAGUGAAGAAGGUUUUCGGAUCGUAAAACUCUGUUGUUAGAGAAGAACAAGGACGUUAGUAACUGAACGUCCCCUGACGGUAUCUAACCAGAAAGCCACGGCUAACUACGUGCCAGCAGCCGCGGUAAUACGUAGGUGGCAAGCGUUGUACGGAUUUAUUGGGCGUAAAGCGAGCGCAGGCGGUUUCUUAAGUCUGAUGUGAAAGCCCCCGGCUCAACCGGGGAGGGUCAUUGGAAACUGGGAGACUUUAGUGCAGAAGAGGAGAGUGGAAUUCCAUGUGUAGCGGUGAAAUGCGUAGAUAUAUGGAGGAACACCAGUGGCGAAGGCGGCUCUCUGGUCUGUAACUGACGCUGAGGCUCGAAAGCGUGGGGAGCAAACAGG
rnacentral:rRNA from 1 species